CCUCUGACGUUAGCGGCGGACGGGUGAGUAACACGUGGAUAACCUACCUAUAACACUGGGAUAACUUCGGGAAACCGGAGCUAAUACCGGAUAAUAUAUUGAACCGCAUGGUUCAAUAUUGAAAGACGGUUUUGCUGUCACUUAUAGAUGGAUCCCCGCCCCAUUAACUAAUUGGUAAGGUAACGGCUUACCAAGGCAACGAUGCGUAACCGACCUGAAAGGGUGAUCGGCCACACUGGAACUGAAACACGGUCCAAACUCCUACGGGAGGCAACAGUAGGGAAUCUUCCGCAAUGGGCGAAAGCCUGACGGAACAACGCCGCGUGAGUGAUGAAGGUCUUCGGAUCGUAAAACUCUGUUAUUAAGGAAGAACAAAUGUGUAAGUAACUAUGCACGUCUUGACGGUACCUAAUCAGAAAGCCACGGCUAACUACGUGCCACCACCCGCGGUAAUACGUAGGUGGCAAGCGUUAUCCGGAAUUAUUGGGCGUAAAGCGCGCGUACGCGGGUUUUUAAGUCUGAUGUGAAAGCCCACGGCUCACCCGUGGAGGGUCAUUGUAAACUGGAAAACUUGAGUGCACAAGAGGAAAGUGGAAUUCCAUGUGUAUCGGUGAAAUGCGCAGAGAUAUGGAGGAACACCAGUGGCGAAAGCGACUUUCUGGUCUGUAACUGACGCUGAUGUGCGAAAGCGUGGGGA
rnacentral:rRNA from 1 species